UAGGCGUACGGGUGAGUAACACGUGGAUCAUCUACCUCUUAGUGGGGAAUAACCCUGGGAAACCGGGGCUAAUACCGCAUAAGUCCGUGAGGAGAAAGCAGCAAUGCGCUGAGAGAAGAGUCCGCGGCCGAUUAGCUAGUUGGUGAGGUAAUGGCUCACCAAGGCGUCGAUCGGUAGCCGGCCUGAGAGGGCACACGGCCACACUGGCACUGAAACACGGGCCAG
rnacentral:rRNA from 1 species